CACGUAGGGGGCGAGCGUUGUCCGGAAUCAUUGGGCGUAAAGAGCUCGUAGGCGGCUCAGUAAGUCGGGUGUGAAACCCUCAGGCUCAACCUGGGGACGCCACCCGAUACUGCUGUGGCUAGAGUCCAGUAGGGGAGUGUGGAAUUCCCGGUGUAGCGGUGAAAUGCGCAGAUAUCGGGAGGAACACCAGCGGCGAAGGCGGCACUCUGGGCCGGAACUGACGCUGAGGAGCGAAAGCGUGGGUAGCAAACAGG
rnacentral:rRNA from 1 species